CGGAGGGUGCAAGCGUUAUCCGGAUUUACUGGGUUUAAAGGGUGCGCAGGCGGAUAUGUAAGUCAGUGGUGAAAUCUCCGGGGCUUAACCCGGAAACUGCCGUUGAUACUAUAUAUCUUGAAUGCUGUGGAGGUAAGUAGAAUAUGUCAUGUAGCGGUGAAAUGCUUAGAGAUGACAUAGAAUACCUAUUGCGAAGGCAGCUUACUACGCAGAUAUUGACGCUCAUGCACGAAAGCGUGGGGAUCAAACAGGAUUAGAUACCCUGGUAGUCCACGCCCUAAACGAUGAUUACUCGACAUACGCGAUAUACAGUGUGUGUCUGAGCGAAAGCAUUAAGUAAUCCACCUGGGAAGUACGAUCGCAAGAUUG
rnacentral:rRNA from 1 species